rnacentral:rRNA from 1 species
GAUGAACGCUAGCGGCAGGCUUAAUACAUGCAAGUCGAGGGGCAGCGGGGGGUAGCAACACCUGCCGGCGACCGGCAAACGGGUGCGGAACACGUACACAACCUUCCUAUAAGUGGGGGAUAGCCCAGAGAAAUUUGGAUUAAUACCCCGUAAUAUUAUUUAGUGGCAUCAUUAGAUAAUUAAAGCUCCGGCGCUUAUUGAUGGGUGUGCGUCUGAUUAGGUAGUUGGUGUGGGGUAACGGCCCACCAAGCCUUCGAUCAGUAACUGGUGUGAGAGCACGACCAGUCACACGGGCACUGAGACACGGGCCCGACUCCUAGGGAGGCAGCAAGUAAGGAAUAUUGGUCAAUGGACGCAAGUCUGAACCAGCCAUGCCGCGUGGAGGAUGAAGGUCC